rnacentral:lncRNA from 1 species
CUUCAGUACAUAAAUGGGGCUGAAGAAGAGUCAGGCUGUUCCAGGUUCUUCUGUGUCUGCUCACCGAGCUGCUCCGAGCCCGGCUUAGAGGACCAGGACAGACUGGAGGCUGUAGCCUGCUGCACCGUGGCUGGCCUCCCUGCAGUUGGUGGCGACAGACACUGUAGUGUGGCUGGAAAGUUUGCUGAGCAGAGAGGCCCAGAUUUUUCCAAUGUGACUUGGGGCAAAUUAACCUGGCUGGUCAGCUCAAGAGACAGAGAUUAAGCCGCACUACAGCCAGGUACUGUUUCCAAGAAACUCAAGACUCCUUCCUCUGGCCCUGUGCACAGAGACAGCUGAGGAUAAGACACCACCUUUACUUUAAGGGCACAAGACGCGCAGAAAUGAACAGGUAGCAUUCCGUGGGAAGAAAUAUCCUCAGGACGUGUGUGUGUGUGUGUGUCUAAGUCUCCUGUGUGUGUAUGCGUGUGUGUGU